CUGUUUGCGGGAUGGUGGCUGCUGUGUCCAGAUGCGUUUCUCCAUCAGUAGCUGUUCAUCAGGGGCUUCAGUGGUCUGCAGGCUCACCAUCCAUGCUUUAAAAGACUGGAUUGUAUUUCUACAAAGCGUUUUGUAGCCACAGGACCAUGGACAGUGACACCAGCACCACAGUGGACUGGAAAGCUGCUUACAGUGCCAAGAACAGCAGGGAAAAGGUAGAUGGAGCAUCCUAGAUGAAACCUGUUAGAGGCUGCAGGCGGAGGUUCACCUUCCAGCAGGACAACGACCCUAAACAUACAGCUAGAGCUACGAUGUAAUGACUUAGGUCAUAGCAUAUUCAUGUGUUAGCAUGGCCAAGUCAAAGUCCAGGCCUAAAUACAAGUGAAAAUAUGUGGCAAGACUUGAGAACUGAUCUUCAGAGACAAUCUCAAUCCAGUCUGACUGUGCUUGAGCUAUUUUGCAAAGAAGAAUGAGCAAAAAUGUACAACCAAUAUAUAUAGAUGGUUAAUAGCUGCUGGAACUGCAAAGAAAGGUGGCUCUACAUAGUAUUGACUAGGGAGUAGGGUUGAAUAUAAAUACAUGCAACACUUUUCAGAUUGUUUUGUUAAAAAAUGUUAUGAGUUUCCUUCUACUUCAUAAUUUUAAAUGAUUUUUUGUUGGUCUGUCACAUGAAAUGCCUUUAAAUGUUUGUGGUUGGAACUGACACAAUAUAAAGGGGUGUGAAUAGUUUUGCAAAACACAGUUUUUCCUGUAAUUUACACUAUGUUUUAAAAGUUACAUUUUGAGGGGCUAUGACUUCAGGUGGCAAGCUCCUCAAAAUCAAAUAAACAUCAUUAAAAGAGCCCAGGUCUUCAGAGCAUCUCCACAUCUCACUGCCCCCCUGAUCCCAAGACACCACUCUGGGAAACCCUUGAUAAAAUGCAUUCAGUGUCUGUGGAGGGGAAGAUGUGGAGGUGUGUAUUUUUAAUUAAUUGAUUUAAUUUUAAAAUUGACUGCUUUAAUAUGACAAAUAUGUCCUAUGAACAAAUACAAAGUAGCAGAAAAGCAUUUGUUACGUUGUACUAAUAACCCUAGAUGUUUUUCUCAGAUCUCUGCAGUAAGGCGAGUCCAGUCUGGAAGGGACUCAUCUUCCUGCUCCGAAAUAAGAAUUAAGAAGGUAUUUUAAAUACUUUUUUUUAUUAUUGUCAAAUAAUUACACGUUUCUUUGUGGCUAGAAGGGGAGAAGGACAGUUUUAAUGUCUGUCUGUCAGCCGCUAAGACCAAUGCACUUCUCUUAGCAGAAAAUGGGCUUCUCAGAUCAGCUUGAACAAUAAAUACUCAGAGGCUGUUAAUCCCAGCAACAGCAGAUAGUCAGUCUCCUUCAACACCAGAAUUUGAUUCAACCAGUGAAAGCUGAUUUCAAAUUGAGCAGAUUCACAGUAAAGGUCACCGUACAAAAACAUUCAAACUAAUUAUAAAUGCAAAUUAAAGUUAUGUAUCUGAGGAAGCCAGCUGACUGUGUUCAAUCUUCACUUUUGUUACAAUCUCCCAUAGACUUCAACAUUGUUUUUUCGUGAAGUACAUUACCUGCUUAAAAAAGUUCUGUUAUUGCAACAGGACAACUUCUUCAUGGCAGUGUCCCUUUAAAGGGAGGUGGCAGUGAUGCAAGAACUGCAUGUAGAAGAAGGUCUCCAUCUCCCACAUGAAAAUGUCAAAGACGCCAUUUGGGCAGCAGCUGCAGUCCUGCAGUUUUACAAAGAUGGAGAAGCUACACCUGGCCUGACUCUGUGUCUACCUGUGACACCUUUCUGGAGAGGGG